UAAUACGUAGGGGGCGAGCGUUGUCCGGAUUUAUUGGGCGUAAAGGGUGUGUAGGCGGCCGCGUAAGUCAGGGGUGAAACCCCGGGGCUCAACCCCGGGCCGGCCUCUGAAACUGCAUGGCUUGAGUGCUCUAGAGGGCAGUGGAAUUGCCGGUGUAGCAGUGAAAUGCGUAGAGAUCGGCAGGAACACCAGUGGCGAAGGCGACUGUCUGGGGAGCAACUGACGCUGAGGCGCGAAAGCUGGGGGAGCAAACGGGAUUAGAUACCCCGGUAGUCCCAGCCGUAAACGAUGAGUGCUAGGUGUGAGGGGUAUCGACCCCCCUCGUGCCGGAGUUAACGCAAUAAGCACUCCGCCUGGGGAGUACGGCCGCAAGGUUG
rnacentral:rRNA from 1 species